rnacentral:tRNA from 1 species
UGGAGUGUGGCUCAGUGGAAGAGCACUUGCCUAGCGCGCAUGAGGCACUGGGUACGAUCCCUAGCACCACAU